rnacentral:rRNA from 1 species
CACCCGCAGCUCGAGUGGUGGUCACUUUUAUUGAGCCUAAAGCGUUUGUAGCCGGAUCCGUAAAUCUCCAGGCAAAUUCCUUCGCUUAACGAAGGAUCUUCUGGAGAGACUGCGGAUCUAGGGACCGGGUGAGGUUGAAUGUACUUCUGGGGUAGGGGUAAAAUCCUGUAAUCCUGGAAGGACGACCGGUGGCGAAGGCGUUCAACUAGAACGGAUCCGACGGUGAGGAACGAGGGCUAGGGGAGCAAACCGGAUUAGAUACCCGGGUAGUCCUAGCUGUAAACACUGCCCACUUGAUGUUGCAUCUCCGUGUAGGGGGUGCAGUGUCGUAGCGAAGGUGUUAAGUGGGCCGCUUGGGGAGUAUGGUCGCAAGGCUGAAACUUAAAGGAAUUGGCGGGGGAGCACCACAACGGGAGGAGCGUGCGGUUUAAUUGGAUUCAACGCCGGAAAGCUCACCAGGAGCGACCUUUGAAUGAGAGUCAACUUGACGAGCUUACUCGAUAGAAGGAGAGGUGGUGCAUGGCCGUCGUCAGCUCGUACCGUAGGGCGUUCACUUAAGUGUGAUAACGAGCGAGACCCCCAUCUUUAAUUGCCAUCAUGUUCGAGAGGACGUGGGCACUUUAAAGGGACCGCCAGCGCAGAGCUGGAGGAAGGAGGGGUCGACGGCAGGUCAGUACGCCCCGAAUCUCCUGGGCAACACGCGCGCUACAAAGGACAGGACAAUGGGCUGCGACCUCGAAAGGGGAAGCCAAUCUCGAAACCUGUUCGUAGUUAGGAUUGAGGGCUGUAACUCGCCCUCAUGAAUCUGGAUUCCGUAGUAAUCGCGGGUCAACAUCCCGCGGUGAAUAUGCCCCUGCUCCU